rnacentral:lncRNA from 1 species
AGACCGCCGGAGGCAGCGGCGAGGACUGGAACUCCAGCAUGGCGAUUACUCUGCCCCUCAGCGGUUCCAGUGCCCUCAAAGCAAUCUGUCUCUGAAGUACUGGCUAUCUUCUGAGCGUGUGCCAGAAGAUCCAGCUUUGUUGAAAAGCGAAGCCGUUAGUCCCUUAAUACAAAGGAUCAGGGAUAGCAGAAAUGAAAGUAUAAUGGAAGCAGCUGGAGGAUUCCAGGUCCACUUUCACCCAAGUAAUGGAGACGGAAGGUUCAUCGAAACUUCUUCAGCUGCAGAUCUAGAAGUCAUUAGCUAUUCUAGCAAAGUAUCUGUCACAGAAAGGUGCUUCAUAAAGGUCUGCACUGUGCUCUUUUGACCUGUGUCUUCAAGCAUGUGCUGUCAUAACAGAUUAAAGAUGACUGAAAAU